AGAAUCUUGCGCAAUGGGCGAAAGCCUGACGCAGCAAUUCCGCGUGGAGGACGAAGGCCCUCGGGUCGUAAACUCCUUUUGCGAGGGAAGAAGUUCUGACGGUACCUCGCGAAUAAGCCACGGCUAACUACGUGCCAGCAGCCGCGGUAAUACGUAGGUGGCGAGCGUUGUCCGGAUUUAUUGGGCGUAAAGAGCCCGCAGGCGGCUUGGCAAGUUUCGAGUGAAAUCUCCCGGCUCAACUGGGAGGGCGCUCGGAAAACUGCCAGGCUUGAGGCAGGGAGAGGGAUGUGGAAUUCCCGGUGUAGUGGUGAAAUGCGUAGAUAUCGGGAGGAACACCAGUGGCGAAGGCGGCAUCCUGGCCCUGUCCUGACGCUCAGGGGCGAAAGCGUGGGGAGCAAACCGGAUUAGAUACCCGGGUAGUCCACGCCGUAAACGAUGAGUACUAGGUGUGGGGGGUAUCGACCCCCUCUGUGCCGAAGCUAACGCGAUAAGUACUCCGCCUGGGGACUACGGCCGCAAGGCUAAAACUCAAAGGAAUUGACGG
rnacentral:rRNA from 1 species